ensembl:lncRNA
CUGAUGACUGGGAUGAAUGUAGGAGCAGAUUUCAGGAGCAGGACAAGACACCCUCUAUGUGACUGAUGACUGGGAUGAAUGUAGGAGCAGAUUUCAGGAGCAGGACAAGACACCGUCUAUGUGACUGAUGACUGACAUAAGGACAUAAGGUGCUAGGCCUAUCUGGCUUAUAUGAUUAUGAUGGUCAUAAGGCUUCUUGGCAUAACAAAGCAAUUGUUCGGUGUUGAAAAUAGUUUUGCUGUGCUGACGUCAUAGGUACGAGACGGAGUCGCUGUUAGCAUGGCUGUGCUGAGGUCAUAGGUACGAGACGGAGUCGCUGUUAGCAUGGCUGUGCUGACGUCAUAGGUACGAGACGGAGUCGCUGUUAGCAUGGCUGUGCUGACGUCAUAGGUACGAGACGGAGCCGCUGUUAGCAUGGCUGUGCUGAGGUCAUAGGUACGAGACGGAGCCGCUGUUAGCAUGGCUGUGCUGAGGUCAUAGGUACGAGACGGAGCUGAGUACCGUAGAUCAGCACAGCGGUGCUAAAAAAGUUGUUUUGCACACCCUCGAGUGUACAAUAGCUUUCCAACAAAGAAUUACCAAUUAAAUAAAACACAUUACUUUGAUGAAUUUAGUCAUAGUCCCGACACAUCUACGAUUGCUCUAUGUUAGGUUGAGACGCGACCCAGUCGUUAAGUCUUUGUUCUGUAUCUAUGGACGCAACCCAGUCGUUCGUUCUAAAUGUUUCAUUGCCAGCUUUUAUCCCUUGCUUGCUAGCUAGCCAACUUCACAGCUAACACAAUCGCUUCAAACUGAAGCUGGUAAGACAGCAAACUAGCUGCAAUUCAUGUUGUUUGCAUACAGUAUAUCUGUAAAAAAUUAUGCUGGUUCAUGACUUUUACUGGCUGAGAAAAAAUGUCUUGUCCAGACACGUUAAUUGUCAAUAGGAGAUCUAGUGGAGAUCGAAUUUCAAUAUUGAUUUUAUUUUUUAAUUGUCGAGAGACAGACGGCAACGUUUUUACAAACCCCCGUUGUUGCAAACUAAAUGUAGGCUAGAAGCGGAGAGAUAAUGUCUAGAAGCUUUUUACAGAGGAAAAUCAUUUCAUGAAUUGUCUGACUGGGCUGAUGGGACAAUGGAUACAUAGGGAUUUGUCAGAUGGAACAGAAAACAAGAUACCUAUUGUCAUCUGCUUACCUUAAGCUAAACCAUUUGUUUUUGUACGGCUUAGAAUGCAUCUCAACCAAUAAAAAUGCUUGUUUUGACCAACCUGUUUUAGAAAGUGUAUUUUCUUAGUCCAAGCAAAGUGACACAGGAUGGGUCGUAAUGGUUAAUCACAAUAUCAUAAAUUGUAUUUUCUGCAAGUUAUUUAAAAUAUGAUAAAACAUUACUCAUUGCAACAAGAAAGGAUUUUUUAAAGAAACAAACUUUCAAACAAAACUAAUUUGAGUAAAUGAGGGUUUUGACACUUAAGUAGGUAACCAUAACCAGCCAUAAAAUAACCGGGAUUCAUCCGAUGGUAUUGAGGAGUACACCACAUAAGUCACCGGCUUCAUCAAUAAGUGCAUUGAUGACGUCGUCCCCACAGUGACCGUACGUACAUACACCAACCAGAAGCCAUGGAUUACAGGCAACAUCCACACUAAGCUAAAGGGUAGAGUGGCUGCUUCAAGGAGCGGGACUCUUAACCUGGGCGCUUAUAAGAAAUCUCGCUUUGCCCUCCGACGAACCAUCAAACAGGCAAAAAAAUCAAUAUAGGACUAAGAUUGAAUCCUACUACACCGGCUCUGACACUCGUUGGAUGUCGCGAGCUGCCCAGUGACACGAGCCUACCAAAUGAGCUAAAUGACUUCUAUGCUCGCAUCAAGGCAAGCAACACUGAAGCAUGCAUGAGAGCACCAGCUAUUCCGAACGAUUGUGUGAUCACGCUCUCCGUUGCUUGCCUCGAAGCACGCAUAGAAGUCAUUUAGCAGGCUCGUGUGAGAGCGUGAUCACACACUCGUUCGGAAUAGCUGGUGCUCUCAUGCAUGCUUCAGUGUUGCUUGCCUCGAAGCACACAUAGAAGUAAUUUAGCUCAUUUGAUAGGCUUGUGUGAUGUGAUUAAGACAUUUAAACAGGUCAACAUUCACAAGACCGCGGGAUCAGACGGAUUACCAGGACAUGUACUCAGUGCAUGCGCUGACCAACUGAGUCUGUCAUACCAACAUGUUUAAAGCAGACCACAGGCUUGUCAUGACUCAUAACACCAUCAUCCCAGCAAACCUAGACCCACUCCACUUUGCAUACCGCCCAAACAGAUCCACAGAUAACGCAAAUCUCUAUUGCACUCCACACUGCCCUUUCCCACCUGGACAAAAGGAACACCUAAGUGAGAAUGCUGUUCAUUGACUUCAGCUCAGCGUUCAACACCAUAGUGCCCUCAAAGCUCAUCACUAAGCUAAGGACCCUGGGAUUAAACCCUUCCAUCUUCAACUGGAUCCUGGACUGCGUGACGGGCCGUCCCCAGGUGGUAGGCAACAACAUAUUUGCUUUGCUGAUCCUCAACAUAGAGGCCCCUCAGGGGUGCGUGCUUAGUCCCCUCCUGUACUCCCUGUUUACUCGCGACUGCAUGGCCAAGCACGACUCCAACACCAUCAUUAAGUUUGCUGACAACACAACGGUGGUAGGCCUGAUCACCGACAACGAUGAGGAGGUCAGAGACCUGGCCAGUGUGGUACCAGGACAAAAACCUCUCCCUCAACAUGAUCAAAACAAAGGAGAUGAUCAUGGACUACAGGAAAAGGAAGGCUGAGAACGCCCCCAUUCUCAUCGACAGGGUGGUAGAGAACGCCCCCAUUCUCAUCGACAGGGUGGUAGAGAACGCCCCCAUUCUCAUCGACAGUGUGGUAGUGAAGCAGGUUGAGAGCUUCCAAGUUCCUUGGCGUCCACAUCACCAACAAACUAUCAUGGGUCCUCAGAUUCUCAAAAGGUUCCACAGCUGCACCACUGAGAGCAUCCUGACUGGUUGCAUCACCGUGUGCACCUUCACGCACAUGUUGAUUUUGUCCAUCCACAGCAGAAGCGAUCAGGACACUCAAGUUGAAAUAUCAAAACAAACUCUGAACCAACUAUAUUAAUUCUGGGACAGGUCGAAACACAUGAAAUAUUCAUGGCAACUGCUCGGCCUCCGACCACAAGGCACUACAGAGGGUAGUGCGUACGGCCCAGUACAUCAUGGGUCCAAGGCACAGCAGAGGGUAGUGCGUACGGCCCAGUACAUCACUGGGUCCAAGCUUCCUGCCUUGCAAGACCUCUAUACCAGGCGGUGUCAGAGGAAGGCCCUAAAAAUUACCAAAGACUCCAGCCACCUUAGACUGUUCUCUCUGCUACCGGGCGGCAAGCGAUACCGGAGUGCCAAGUCUAGGUCCAAGAACAGCUUAACAACUUCUACCCCCAAAGCCAUAAGACUCCUGAACAGCUAAUCAAAAUGGCCACCCAGACUUUUUUGCAUUAACCCCCUUUGUUUUAUUGUCACUUCACCUACAUUGGUGGAAAAAGUAACCAAUUGUCAAACAUACCUUAAUAGAAAGGUACUCAAAUAAAAUUGAACGUCACCCAGUGAAAUACUACUUCAGUAAAAGUCUCAAAGUAUUUGGUUGUAAAUAUACAGUAAGCAGUAAGUAUCAAGAAGUAAAUGUAAUUGCUCAAUUUUACUUAAGUAUGCAAAAGUAAAAAUCUUUUCAAAUUCCUUAUAUUAAGGAAAACAGACGGCUUCAUUUUCUUGUCUUUAAAAAAACAAUUCACGGAUAGCCAGGGGGCACACUCCAACACUUAGACAUCAUUACAGAUAGCCAGGGGCACUCUCCAACACUUAGACAUCAUUACAGAUAGCCAGGGGAACACUCCAACACUUAGACAUCAUUACAGAUAGCCAGGGGCACACUCCAACACUUAGACAUCAUUACAGAUAGCCAGGGGUACACUCCAACACUUAGACAUCAUUACAGAUAACCAGGGGAACACUCCAACACUCAGACAUCAUUACAGAUAGCCAGGGGCACACUCCAACACUCAGACAUCAUUACAGAUAGCCAGGGGAACACUCCAACACUCAGACAUUACAGAUAGCCAGGGGAACACUCCAACACUUAGACAUCAUUACAGAUAGCCAGGGGAACACUCCAACACUCAGAUAUCAUUACAGAUAGCCAGGGGAACACUCCAACACUCAGAUAUCAUUACAGAUAGCCAGGGGGCACACUCCAACACUCAGACAUUACAGAUAGCCAGGGGAACACUCCAACACUUAGACAUCAUUACAGAUAGCCAGGGGAACACUCCAACACUCAGAUAUCAUUACAGAUAGCGAGGGGAACACUCCAACACUCAGACAUCAUUUACAGAUAGCCAGGGGAACACUCCAACA